AGGCAGCAGUGGGGAAUAUUGCACAAUGGGCGCAAGCCUGAUGCAGCAACGCCGCGUGAGGGACGACGGCCUUCGGGUUGUAAACCUCUUUUAGUAGGGAAGAAGCAAAGUGUUUUACAUGGAGUGACGGUACCUGCAGAAAAAGCACCGGCUAACUACGUGCCAGCAGCCGCGGCAAUACGUAGGGUGCAAGCGUUAUCCGGAAUUAUUGGGCGUAAAGAGCUCGUAGGCGGUUUGUCGCGUCUGCUGUGAAAACUGGGGGCUCAACCCCCAGCCUGCAGUGGGUACGGGCAGACUAGAGUGCGGUAGGGGAGAUUGGAAUUCCUGGUGUAGCGGUGGAAUGCGCAGAUAUCAGGAGGAACACCAAUGGCGAAGGCAGAUCUCUGGGCCGUAACUGACGCUGAGGAGCGAAAGCAUGGGGAGCGAACAGGAUUAGAUACCCUGGUAGUCCAUGCCGUAAACGUUGGGAACUAGAUGUAGGGUCCAUUCCACGGAUUCUGUGUCGCAGCUAACGCAUUAAGUUCCCCGCCUGGGGAGUACGGCCGCAAGGCUAAAACUCAAAGGAAUUGACGGGGGCCCGCACAAGCGGCGGAGCAUGCGGAUUAAUUCGAUGCAACGCGAAGAACCUUACCAAGGCUUGACAUAUACCGGAAACGGCUGGAAACAGUCGCCCCGCAAGGUCGGUAUACAGGUGGUGCAUGGUUGUCGUCAGCUCGUGUCGUGAGAUGUUGGGUUAAGUCCCGUAACGAGCGCAACCC
rnacentral:rRNA from 1 species